rnacentral:rRNA from 1 species
GAUGAACGCUGGCGGCGUGCUUAACACAUGCAAGUCGAGCGAGAAGUUUUGAAAAGAUUCUUCGGAUGAAAUUUAAAAUGGAAAGCGGCGGACGGGUGAGUAACGCGUAGGCAACCUGCCCCAUACAAAGGGAUAGCAUUUGGAAACGAAUAUUAAUACCUUAUGAAACUUAACUAGUGCAUGCUAGGUAGGUCAAAGAUUUAUCGGUAUGGGAUGGGCCUGCGUCUGAUUAGCUAGUUGGUGAGGUAACGGCUCACCAAGGCGACGAUCAGUAGCCGACCUGAGAGGGUGAACGGCCACAUUGGAACUGAGACACGGUACAAACUCCUACGGGAGGCAGCAGUGGGGAAUAUUGCACAAUGGGGGAAACCCUGAUGCAGCAACGCCGCGUGAACGAUGAAGGCCUUUGGGUCGUAAAGUUCUGUUCUAGGUGAUGAAAACUGACAGUAACCUAGGAGAAAGCCCCGGCUAACUCCGUG